rnacentral:rRNA from 1 species
GACAGAGGUUGCAAACGUUGUUCGGAAUCACUGGGCAUAAAGCGCACGUAGGCGGGUUUUUAAGUCAGGGGUGAAAUCCUGGAGCUCAACUCCAGAACUGCCUUUGAUACUGAAGAUCUUGAGUUCGGGAGAGGUGAGUGGAACUGCGAGUGUAGAGGUGAAAUUCGUAGAUAUUCGCAAGAACACCAGUGGCGAAGGCGGCUCACUGGCCCGAUACUGACGCUGAGGCACGAAAGCCAGGGGAGCAAACGGG